AGAACGAACGCUGGCGGCAGGCCUCAAACAUGCAAGUCUAGGGGGUGUAGCAAUACAUCACCGGCGGACGGGUGCGUAACACGUGGGAAUAUACCUUUUGGUUCGGAACAACUGAGGGAAACUUCAGCUAAUACCGAAUGUGUCCUUGCGGAGAAAGAUUUAUCGCCAAAGGAUUAGCCCGCGUUCGAUUAGCUAGUUGGUAGGGUAACGGCCUACCAAGGCGACGAUCGAUAGCUGUUCUGAGAGGAAGAUCAGCCACACUGGGACUGAGACACGGCCCAGACUCCUACGGGAGGCAGCAGUUGGGAAUCUUGGACAAUGGGGGAAACCCUGAUCCAGCCAUGCCGCGUGAGUGAUGAAGGCCUUCGGGUUGUAAAACUCUUUCGACGGGGACGAUAAUGACGGUACCCGUAGAAGAAGCUCCGGCUAACUUCGUGCCAGCAGCCGC
rnacentral:rRNA from 1 species